rnacentral:rRNA from 1 species
AUUGAACGCUGGCGGCAUGCUUUACACAUGCAAGUCGAACGGUAACAGGGAGCUUGCUCCGCUGACGAGUGGCGAACGGGUGAGUAAUAUAUCGGAACGUACCCAAGAGUGGGGGAUAACGUAGCGAAAGUUACGCUAAUACCGCAUACGAUCUAAGGAUGAAAGCAGGGGAUCUUCGGACCUUGUGCUCCUGGAGCGGCCGAUAUCUGAUUAGCUAGUUGGUGAGGUAAAGGCUCACCAAGGCGACGAUCUGUAGCUGGUCUGAGAGGACGACCAGCCACACUGGGACUGAGACACGGCCCAGACUCCUACGGGAGGCAGCAGUGGGGAAUUUUGGACAAUGGGCACAAGCCUGAUCCAGCAAUGCCGCGUGCAGGAAGAAGGCCUUCGGGUUGUAAACUGCUUUUGUACGGAACGAAACGGCUCUCUCUAAUACAGAGGGCUAAUGACGGUACCUGGAGAAAAAGCCCCGGCUAACUUCGUGCCAGCCGCCGCGGUAAAAC